GCCCUGAACCGGACCUGGACCUAACUUUUUUGUACCUGUACCCACCCCUAAUAUCAGGACUUCCAACUUAGCACAAGCCCCGAGAGAAUUUUGAAAAGUUGAGUUCGUGCGAUCCACAAUUUGCUAGACAAUGUAACAUUAUGUUGAAGGCCAGAAAGAAGAACCCUUGUUUGUUUGUUUGUUUGUCUAUAUGCUUGCUUGUUUGUGUUUGUCAACUGGCAUUGAUGAAACAGUAACGUCAAAGUUCGACUGCAGUUUCUCUAUUUUGGCGCCCUGGAAUGUAUGACGUCACUCAUCAGAUGUACACCGGGUUCAUCCAGACAACUGGCGGAACAAUAGAUGUGACAUGGGGAGGACUGGCCAGCUGGUCGUCCCGCCAUUGGUCAGGAAAACAGAUCAACAUUAAAACUACAGAUUAGGGGAUUCCAUCUCUUAUGCUAACACCUUGUGGGGAUAAAACGUUGUUCGAAGUUGAUGUUAUAUAGACAGGUACACUUGGCAAAUUCAAGCCACACUUCGGUUUGCAACAGCUACCUGUUUAUUACCGGAGAUGCACCAUCGUAACAUGUGCGUAUUUGUAACUCCCCUCCCAUACAUGGUUCCAAGUAGAACAUUCGGGAUAACAUAUGUGCGUGUUUCGUCAUCCAGAUGGUCGAUAAAAGUAACAAGGCUGGCGGACCAUAAGGAAACAGUCUUUAAAGGUGUUGUAAACUAUCCCCGGCUGGUUUAACAUGACACCAAGCAUAUUUCUGCUGAGUCUGUUGGUGACAGUCGUCAGUCCCGGCGUCGGUUUAGGCAUAUUUAAGAAGGACGAUGACGAUGGCGCUACCUGCUCUCUCAAAUGUGAUGAUGGAGUGAGCGGGAAGUUGAACAUGAAGGGCAUGAAGGGAGACUCAGGUGAAGCAGGUGCUCCCGGUGUGCCAGGUGGCCCGGGGCAGGUGGGGGAUCCCGGACCGGAGGGACCAGCGGGGCCUCCAGGUGCAAAGGGAGAGGCGGGUGUGCCCGGUCCCGCCGGGACAGACGGUGUGCCCGGGGAGAAGGGUGACCCAGGGGAGCCGGGGCUGCCGGGACAGAAGGGCGAGAUGUCAGCACCAGUCCCGGGAGUUCGUGGUCCACCGGGUCAUAAGGGAGACAGGGGAGUUCCUGGGGCGGCAGGACCGUCCGGGCCGGCCGGGCAGGAGGGGCCGUCUGGCGUGCAGGGGCUUCCUGGUGCCCCAGGUUUGACAGGAAAUCCAGGCAGUGCUGGACACAAAGGCGACCCUGGUGACAUUGGGCCAGUCGGGCCGAUGGGGCCCCCUGGGGCAGUUGGACCAGCCGGUCUGAAGGGAGAAAAGGGAGUUCAGGGUUUACCGGGCAUUGGUGAGGAAGGCCCUCCCGGCCCCCCUGGGGAGGACGGCCCCCCGGGCCUGCCUGGAAGCCCCGGGGCGAGUGGACAUGAAGGUGACAUCGGAGAACCAGGUCCCCAGGGCCCUCCAGGUACCCUGGGUCCGCAGGGACAUAAGGGCGCAGUGGGACCGCCGGGGCCACUGGGACCCCCCGGGCCUCCUGGGCAGGCAGCAGCCGCUACAAGAUGUGCAUUCUCUGCAGUAAAGACGUCCUCACAGAAAUCUGGAUAUCACACUGCCGUCCUAUCCUUUGAGCGGGUCAUCACUGAUGCAAAUUCUCACUUUGAGAAAAGCAAGUUCACAGCUCCUGUGGACGGCUACUACGUGUUCAUGUUCCAUGUCAUGUUUGACAGUGAGGAUGACGGAGGGAAGGUCGAUCUGAUGAAGGAAGGUUUCCUACAAACAUCCGUGCUCAACCCCCAAGGGCACACCGGCUCACAGGGUUAUGCUGGGAACAGCGCUGUCUUACAGGUGAAUGAGGGUGGACAGGUGUGGCUUCAGUUCAAAGGAAAUGUGUAUAGUGACUACACCCUCAUCACUUCUUUCACUGGCUUCCUCAUCCGGGAGGGUCAUUGAGACGUAUGCUUUGCUGUCCUGUAGCUGGCAAGCAGGACUGAGAUGGAAACGUUGCUGUCCUGUAGCUGUCAGAUAGGACUGAAAUGAACAUAUCGCUAUCCUGUAGCUGUCUGAUAGAACUGAGAUAGACACAAUUUGACCUGUAGCUGUCAGAUAGGACUGAGAUUGAAACAUUGCUGUCCUGUAGCUGUCAGAUAGGACUGAGAUUGAAGCAUUGCUGUCCUGUAGGAUCCUGUAGCUGCCAGACAGGACUGAGAUGGACAGAUUGCUAUCCUGUAGCUGUCAGAUAGGACUGAGAUGGAUAGUUCACUGUCCUAUAGCUGCCUAUAAUGGAUAGGACUGAGAUGGACAGAUCGCUGUCCUGUAGCUGUCAGACAGGACUGAGAUGGACAGAUCGCUGUCCUGUAGCUGUCAGACAGGACUGAGAUGGACACAUUGCUGUCCUGUAGCUAUCAGACAGGACUGAGAUGGACAGAUCGCUGUCCUGUAGCUGUCAGACAGGACUGAGAUGGACACAUUGCUGUCCUGUAGCUGUUGGACAGGACUGCUGUCAUGUCAUAUACUAGUAUCUGCAUAACUGUAAGAGGAAAGCAUCAGUCUGUGUUCUGUGCUAAUAAAAUGCAUUGUUGUUCACAACAGAUGUGAGAUGUGAAAAAUAAAGCUGUUAGUCUUUCUGAA